rnacentral:rRNA from 1 species
CCUACGGGAGGCAGCAGUGGGGAAUAUUGCGCAAUGGGCGAAAGCCUGACGCAGCGACGCCGCGUGAGGGAUGAAGGUCUUCGGAUCGUAAACCUCUGUCAGCAGGGAAGAACGGUCACUGUGCUAAUCAGCAGUGAAUUGACGGUACCUGCAAAGGAAGCACCGGCUAACUCCGUGCCAGCAGUCGCGGUAAUACGGAGGGUGCGAGCGUUAAUCGGAAUUACUGGGCGUAAAGCGCUCGUAGGCGGUAUGUCAAGUCAAGGGUGAAAUCCCCGCGCUCAACGUGGGAACUGCCUUUGAAACUGGCAAACUGGAGUGUGUGAGAGGAUAGUGGAAUUCCAGGUGUAGGAGUGAAAGCCGUAGAUAUCUGGAGGAACAUCAGUGGCGAAGGCGACUAUCUGGCACAUAACUGACGCUGAGGAGCGAAAGCGUGGGUAGCAAACAGGAUUAGAUACCCUAGUAGUC